AAGCAAUUAACUCAAUUGGUAGAGUGUUUCAUUUACACUGAAACGGUUAAUGGUUCAAAUCCAUUAUUGCUUA
rnacentral:tRNA from 1 species